UGAAGUGUGUUCUCUUGCGUUUUAUUGUGUUCUUGUAGUUUUCUUUCGAAUUAUGGCGCGUUUUUGCGAAAAAGUGAAUAUUUGGUGCAGUUAGAGAGCAGUGAUCUAGAUAUUGCCUUGCGAUAUAAGGAUAAAAUAAGGGUGGUAGCCUGUGUUGACCCUUUUGCCCUAACCGACCCAGAAACAACAACUUGAAAGAUUUUCCAAAAGUAACGGCGUUUGAUAUUAUCUUAUGCUAACCCACAGCUUCUAUACAGAUGACCAGAUGAAAGCCUACAAAAGUUUGUUUGGCUAUAAAUAUUUCGAAGCUGGAUGGGUUUCAAAUUGUUCUGUAAGAAAAGUUGGAGAUUUCACCAUUGUUACUGGAAAGGUUAAGCACUCGCAGAAAAUGAACGAGCGUGCUCUUGAUGUUAUGGGUCAUAACUCAAGAAGUUGGAGGAAUUCACACAGGACAUUGCACCUGUAUGGCGGGUCAUUCUGAAGUUUGCAGCCAUGUUGCCGCCAUCUUAUAUAUGUUAGAGAGUAUAACACAAAUGGUAGAAAACAUGGCAUGCACAGAUAAAUUAUCUACCCGGAAUGUUUCUAGCCCAUUAAAAGUAUCUAUGGUUAAAAUAAGUGAGAUGAAGCUAAAAAGAAGAAAAACCGAACACGGCUUAACUGGUUCGAGCAAUAUUCCACCAUUUGAAGAGAAUGAAUUAGUGAAGUUCCUAGAAGGUGUGAUAAGUGAUGGUGAUGAUAUUGUGCUAAGCAGAAUUUUGCGGCCAUUUUGUACAGAACUGACAUUUCCAUAGCCCAUAGAUAAAGUUGGUAUCCAAUCAACAUUCAUAUAAUCUUCUAAUUGAACUGGUUUACUAACAAUUUAAAAUUGAAUCAAUUAUUUAGUGUAAAGAUUAAAGCAAAUAAUUACAUGUUUUUUUUUACAUUUAUCAAAAAUUAACAAUUUAAAAUUAUAUGUUCAAAGUAAAAGUACAAAA